GACGAACGCUGGCGGCGUGCUUAACACAUGCAAGUCGAGCGAGGCCCUUCCUUCGGGAAGGUGCCCUAGCGGCGAACGGGUGAGUAACACGUGGGCAACCUGCCCUCAGCUCUGGGGAUAACCCCGGGAACCGGGGCGUAAUACCGGUAUACGACCACAGUGGGCAUCCGCUUGUGGUGGAAAGAUUUAUCGGCUGAGGAUGGGCCCGCGGCCUAUCAGCUAGUUGGUGAGGUAACGGCCCACCAAGGCAACGACGGGUAGCCGCCUGAGAGGGCGACCGGCCACACUGGGACUGAGAC
rnacentral:rRNA from 1 species